rnacentral:miRNA from 1 species
GUUGACAGAAGAGAGAGAGCAC